AACAAUGGCCGUCAGCCGCACGGCGCCCCCUAAAAAAAAGGUCAGCCGCACGGCGAUACCGGGACCAGAACGAGUCCCGUCGACUCCGGCGGCCGGAGGUCAACGUACGCGGACCCCCACUCCCGUGUCGGCUCUGGCCACGGCUAAUCAGGCGAGGCUCUCCGCCGCCCACGCCGCCAGAAGUUUACUGGGUGGCUGAUGGUCCAGGUUCAUGCCAAGGAAAUCCCAACUUCUUGUGGUCAUCAAGUCAUGAUGCUGAUUUGGAGUAACGCUGAUAACUUCAGGAUAGUGUUAGACCAUCAGAGAAUUAGCGAAGCAAUUUUUGUAGUAAACUUGGCCCACCUCCAAGAUCUUGUGCUUGGUCAUCUGUUAACAUCGCCGCGAAGCCGGAGAAGCCAUGCUUGUAGCUGUAAGUGAUGGAGGCCAACGCAUCUUCCUUGCUGAAACAAAUCAGCAAGUGAUGAGGAAAAAUAAAACGGCAGCCUUUCUCGGAAUUGUCGAACGAAAUACUCUGUCCUCUAAAUGUAUAUUGCCAUUCAGAAGAUCAGAACCAAACUCGGAAAGAUAGGAAGCUUGUUCUGAGGUUUACCUUCCAAGAAUGGUGGUGAGCAUGUCAUGGUGCGAAGAUGUUACCAGAGAAGGGUCAUCAUGUUUCUUCUCUCCCAGGGUGAUGAAUUGGCCAUACCUUUUGAGAUCCAUACCCUCUGCUUAUGUUUAUCAUAAGGCAUAAGCAUAGUAGGAGGUAAGCCGGAAAACGCCGAGGGGAAGAGUGGAAAUCCAUGUUGGUAUGGAAGCACUUGCUGAUAUGAUCCAACAACAGAAAGGAAGGUCAAAGAUACAGGCUCAGUUCGCAUGAAUCCAAUCUUUCGGCUAUCGACGCCAAUUUCCUCCAUGAAGUUCCCUGGAACUAGCUCAGCUGAAACGCGUUGCGUUUCUCCCCGCUCCAGCAUUCUCCCAUUUCAAACCUGUAAUAUUGCACUUAUUUUCCCUCUCCCGAAGCACGGUUUUUCAAUUUGUUCAUUCGCAUGUUAAGCAAAUAAAUGAAUUCAUAUCAUCUUCUCUACAAGAACUAAUGAAGACAAAAACGUGUGGCGUGCAGUGCAGGCAACGAAGUCCCAGAAGAUGCUGCCGGUUGCUGUAGGGAAGAACAGCGCAGGGCUCCGUUCAGACAGGGAAUCCAAUCAAGGGCCCUCCGGAUGGUCUCGUGCGCGUAUUGAAGGUGCGGUGGUUCUCAAUCGGCGGCGGGUUUUGUAUGCCUUUCCUUUUCCUCGGCGCUGCAUACGAUUGUACGGGUCCAUCACCCGUGGCUGUGAGCGAUCCGUAGAACAUUGACUUCCUGAUGAGGGAGCAUCUCUUCCAUCUCUUCAGGGGAGAAGAUUGACUUGACUAGUGCGUCGACCAUCCAUGCCAUACGUAGUGCCAGCUCUUCCACUGUUAUCUUGGAGACGUCACUGCAGCCUGCUGAUCUUUUGUUUCUCUUCCAUUCCUAAAUACACCAUCUGUUUUUAAAUACAAGACGUUUUGGCAAUUCAAGCCUCUUUUAAAGAAUUACCAAGUGUAUUCUGACAGUGUAAAUA